rnacentral:lncRNA from 1 species
GCACAAACACGCCCUCCCUGCCGCGCUCGCCGCCGCGGCCACCAUCUCGGAGCCGAGCCCUGCGGAGCGGGAACCGAAGCCGGAGCGGGGACCGGAGGCAGCCGAGCAGGGGAUGCCGACCCGGAGCGGAGCCACGCGCGGACUGCGCGCCCAAGACGCCUCUGGCAGCCACAGGCCCUGAGGCUCCAGUGCCCAGAGGCAGAGAGGGCAACUGAGUCCAGCCCAGGCUGAGCCCCGCCCAACUGUGCUCCCCAGACACCCACCCAACCCGAGGUAAGACGCCACUCUGGGCAGCGGGGCAUGGAGGGUGUGGGGUCUGUAGGGGAGGCUGUCAUGGGGCCCUCUUUCUGGGGCUUUCCCCAUCUCUCCCCCACCACAUGCAGCCAUGCUCAGGAGGUUGCUGUGGCGGUGCCACUUGCCGCCAGCCCUUGCUGUAGCAGGGCUCCGGCAGGCAGCUUGGAAGCCUGGGGCGUUCUUCCCAGCAACUGGGUUUCAUGGACAGUUCCGGCUAAUGGGUUCCCACGUGGCAUGGGAGGUCUCUGAGGGCAGGCUGCAGGGCUCUGUCCUUGGUCCUGUCACAUUGUUGACCAAAUGUGUGCCUGACUUCAGGUCGGGAGGGAGCCAGAAGACGUGGACUGAGACAAUCAGGGUCCAAGGAACUGUCAAGAGGCCGACAUUGGCUUUAAUGUGUGGAGUUUAACAGGGUUCCACACCAGAGACAGCGCGCGGGUCCAGACGCCUUCAGGGCAGGAUGAGGCUUAGACCCCAGGUGUGUUUGUGCGACAAGCACUGGCAGCCAGGUGACCUUGGUUCUCUGUGAACAGAGCAGAUGGGUUCUUGAACUGUAUCACGAGGAGUAGGAUCCCCAGAAUUGUGGGAGGUAACAGGUCCUUUCACUUCAUGGUCCAUGUGAGGGGUUGUGGAGAAAUGACAGCGUGUCCCAGAGAAGUGGGAGAUGGGGAAGGAGGGGGACCUGGGUUACUGCCUGGCUUGACCCCUGACUUGCUCAUGACCUUGGACAAGUCCCCUCUACUCCAUAUCUGGGCCAGUCCCCUGUUCUUGACAGGCCUCUGUCACCCAUGAGAGGGCUGCAGAGGGACUUUGCUAAACAGAGGGAACAGUAGGGUGGGCUUGGGGCAGCAGGCUGGCCUGGCGGAUUGUCCUUAUUUUUCAGAGGAAGAAGCCUGGCGGCAGGCCUGGACUCCCUUCUCCUGAGGGAUCGGGUGACGGUUGUGUGUGGCUGAGGCUCAGCCAGCCCUGUCCUCACACUGGGAAGCUGGUGGGAGCAGAGGCCUGGAUUUCCUUCCCAGGCACUAGACC